AAGCAGUGUCCAGACUGAAGCAUACGCACACGGACCUGCCUUACAACGUGGCGUCGCGCCGCUGCCCCACUCACCGAGGCACCCUGUGCACGCCCUCCCCACGAACGCCUUGCCCGAAUCAUGGCAACACUCACGAGCAACCUCCUGCGUCCGAGAUUCAACGCGCUCUCACUCACUCACCCACCGCUACCUUGACAUACUCUCCUCCCUCCACUACCACCGCAAGAGCACCGCCACUAUGUAGCUAAGUUCGAUUCCUCUUGACGAUGCUGAUCAUUUCAGCUUCAAGUGGAUCGAACUCCCGUGCUCUCUCUCUCUCUCUCUCUCUCUCCCAAUGUCGUCGACCGUCUGUUGCCUUUGGUGGUGUUGUGUGUGCAUGUUUGGUCAUGCUAGCUUUGUAUUUGGCAACAUCUCUUUCAAGUUGUGUGUUUGUGAAGCGUGUGCCAGUCUCAUGAAGUUGGUAUCAUGCAAAUGAGUUGGGUGGGACUCAGCAAAGCUCGACUGACAAACAGGACACCUGGUUGGACUUUAUGCGAAGCAAUGUGACUGAAACUAAAUUCUUAUUUGUUGAGAGUAGAGGACCCACAUGAUUGGGUUCUCUAGAGGAUUAAAAGCAACAUUGUGUUGCCUUUGUCUGGAAUUAAUGGGAAGCACUUGUACAGCAUUGUCUGGAGGAAUAUGUUGGAUGGUUCAACUUUACUCAAACUGGAACUAAUAAAGUGUGCGAUUUUAUGCUUUCACUAGUU